rnacentral:lncRNA from 1 species
AGAUGCUCACAUGGCAUAGCUCAAGUAGGCAACAAGAUUUACUCUUUUGGUGGUGAGCUCAUACCAAAUCAGCCCAUCGAUAAACACCUUUACGUCUUUGACCUCGAGACCCGGACUUGGUCCAUUGCUCCAGCCACCGGAGACGUUCCACACCUCUCUUGCUUAGGUGUCCGUAUGGUGUCAGUAGGAUCGACCCUCUAUACCUUUGGAGGCCGAGACUUUUCACGCCAAUACAACGGUUUCUACUCGUUUGACACGACAACAAACGAGUGGAAACUGCUAACUCCGGUGGAAGAAGGACCCACUCCUCGUAGUUUCCAUUCGAUGGCAGCGGAUGAGGAAAACGUUUACGUUUUCGGUGGAGUGGGUGCUAUGGAUCGAAUCAAGACACUAGACUCUUACAAUAUCGUUGACAAGACGUGGUUUCAUUGUUCGAAUCCAGGAGAUUCCUUUAGCAUAAGAGGAGGAGCAGGGCUCGAAGUGGUGCAAGGGAAAGUAUGGAUUGUGUAUGGAUUUAACGGAUGUGAAGUAGAUGAUGUUCAUUUCUACGAUCCUGCUGAAGACAAAUGGACACAAGUGGAAACAUUCGGUGUGAAGCCUAACGAAAGGAGUGUUUUCGCUAGUGCGGCUAUUGGGAAACACAUUGUGAUAUUUGGAGGUGAGAUUGCGAUGGAUCCACGAGCUCACGUAGGUCCGGGUCAAUUAAUCGAUGGGACUUUCGCGUUGGAUACAGAGACGUUGCAAUGGGAGAGGUUAGAUAAGUUUGAGGGGACUCCGAGUAGCAGAGGAUGGACCGCGUCCACGACUGGAACCAUUGAUGGUAAGAAAGGACUUGUGAUGCAUGGUGGUAAAGCUCCAACCAAUGACCGGUUUGAUGACCUCUUCUUUUACGGAAUUGACUCUGUCUGAUUAAGCGCGAUUUGAUCAUGACCGUUUGUGUUUUAUUUGUUUGUGUGUCUGUGUGUCUGUGUGAUGCAAUAAGGGAGGGAUCGUGAUACCUCUAUAUGAUCCUUCGUCAGCUUAUCCAUUUUAUUUUUUAUUUUCUAAAUGUAUCUUUUUGUUUUUUGUUUUCUGUUUUGUAUGUUUAAUGUUUCGUGGCUUGUUCAAUAAGAUGUUUAUUUUCCGAAUUUUUUUUGGGUAUGUUACGUUAUACUACAAACAAAAAUAUUAUGAUUUUGAUUUUCUCUAAAGAUGAAAUGAAUAGAACAAGAAGUCAGCAGAUAGGGUGGUUUCAUCUACUUUUGUGGUUGGUAAAUGUGGUUAGAAAAAUUUGCAUUGAAUUGUAAGUUUCUAUCCAUAAAAGAAACAAAAAAUUAAUGUAAUCAAGAGUGGAAAGUUACCAAUGGAUUAUAAAAAUCUUGCAAUUCUAAUAAAUCCUCAUGUCAACGGUACAGAUAAGAUAAGGGUAAGGGGCAAACAAUCUUGUUGGUUCAAAUGGCAAGUAAACAAGGGCAAUUAUAUCCACCUAAUCCAUUGCGUUUUCUUUCUCUAAUCUUAGAAUCUACUUUAAUUGUAUGUUUUUCUCUUUCAUCUACUUUCCAAAACUAUAUAACCUCAUUUCUAUACUUUUUAUGCAUUUAUUUUGAAACCCCUUUAUCAAAAAAAAAAAAGGGGCCAAUUUUUCUUCAAAAAUGGUUACUUUAAGAUUCUCAUAUACAGUGUGCCAAAAAAAAAAAAGGUACCUAAAAUAUUUAUUAUUUCAGAUAUUGGUCAACAUAUUAUCUGUAACAGAAAAAUGUUCACGUGAUAUUUGCGAAUCACAUUUUUCUAGGGGCAAAAGUGAUAUAUGAGAAUCUUAAAGUAACCUUUUCUAGAAUAAUUGCCCUUGUUUACUUGCCACUGUAGUCAUUUAUUUAAUUUAUGUUCAAAAACAGAUUACCUACCUAAUUCACCGAAACGAAAAAUUUUGUUGCCAGUUUUUGUUUUUUUUAAUUUUUUUUUUCCUCUUUUUAGUUUACCUUCUCUUUUUUCUGUUCAACAUUAAACUAGAAGGUAGAGUAAUAAAUAACGAUGGAUGGAUGUGUUGAAAACGCGCUUUAUGCAUGAUUCAUACGAGAGCAGCUGAGGAGGAGACAAAAAACGGGUCUACACUAUAUCAGACUUUUUUUUGUUUUUUUGGUGUAAAACUAUAUCAGAUGGAAAAAUAUCAACCAAAUAAUGUAGAAACUAUAUCAAACUUUUAACAAAACUAUCAACCCAAUAUUUUAUAUUUUAUUAAAAAACAAUACUAAUAAUUUUUCCUUUUCCUCGUUUUUUUUUUUCUGAUCAACCAUUCACACGUUGUUUUUCGUAAUUAUGAUUCUGCAUAAUGCUUUCUCUAAAUCAAAAACUCCACGCCACGGUUCAACUGAUGUAGUGCCUCCACCGUUGUCGUUUGACUCGUUGCAGAGGACACCAUUAUGCACUUCGAUUCAUUUUCAAAAUCGUCUUUCUCUACUGAAUUGUUACUCCAUUUAAUUUUUUGGUCCAUAGAUAACAUAGACCAUUAUACUAGUAUGUUAAAUGUAUACUUAUCAGUUACCGCACAACAUUAAUUCUUAAAGAGGGUUCAUUUUCGAGAAUUGAGUACAACACUACCAUUAGGCCAAAAUGCGAGAGGCAAAAAAAGAUAUAGCAUAUACUUAUCAUGAAUAAUGAAAAUCUUUUCCAUCCAAAUAAAAAUCUUUCUUCUCAUAAAAGAAAGAAGAGAAAAAACAAUGAGUUUGCAUAUCUUUAUCCUGUAGAAUGAUAAUCUUCCCCAUCAACUACUGUAGAUCGUCAACGUGUACUCACUUCCAUUAUCGAUCGAAUCAUCAAUUUAAUGCCUCGUGAAUCACGAGAUCAUAUAAUAUGACAAGAAAUUCGUCCCGUUUAUCUACUGCUGGUCAAUAAAUACUCAUGCAAUUCCCACCAAUAGAUCACUCAACCAAUUUCUUCUCAGGUUCUCUCUUCACACCUCUCCCCUUCUCUAUGAUUAUAGAUAGUAUAUGAUUUGGUUAAAUUAUCUAUAUUUCUUUUUUGAUAAAGGAUUUGGUUAAAUUUUUAAUUGCAGGUAAUACUCGUAAGAUUUAUCAACACAAGCAAAAAAGAUGGCCCAAAAGCUAGAAGCAAAGGGUGGUGAGAUGGGAGAUGUAUGGGAUGAUGGUGUUUACGAAAAUGUUAGAAAGGUAUAUGUAGGGCAAGCACAAUACGGUAUAGCCUUCGUCAAGUUUGAGUAUGUCAAUGGUUCUCAAGUGGUUGUUGGAGAUGAACAUGGAAAGAAGACAGAGCUAGGAGUUGAAGAGGUACUAAAAUAGAUUUUUUUUUUUUUUUUUUUUUUUUUUUUUUUUUAGUCAAAAGGUACUAAAAUAGAUUUAUAUGUUGUGAUUGAUCAAGAGGUAGGGUCUUUUUUUUUUUUGUUGCUUUCCGCAUUGAAAAUUGCUUGGUUUCUUUGCAGUUUGAGAUUGAUGCGGAUGACUACAUCGUAUACGUGGAAGGUUACCGUGAGAAAGUUAACGAUAUGACGUCAGAAAUGAUCACGUUUCUUUCUAUUAAGACUUUUAAAGGCAAAACCUCUCAUCCUAUCGAAAAAAGACCUGGGGUUAAGUUUGUGCUACAUGGUGGAAAAAUCGUUGGGUUUCACGGACGUUCAACAGAUGUUUUACACUCCCUUGGGGCCUAUGUUUCUUUGUCAUCCACUAUCAAAUUGCUUGGGAAGUGGAUUAAGGUAAUAAUCUCUUAGACCAAUCCAAAAACAAAAAUAAAAAAUUAUCUCACAUAAAUAUGUUGUUAUUGUUACCACCGCAAAAUCACUAAAUCACUUACGAGAAAGAAAAAAUGAAGAAGAAAAGAGGGUUGAAUUUGGAAUUCAGAUAAUGACACUUUUAAAAUUUAUAAUUUUAUUAAAUUUAUCUUAUGGGAGUUCAUUAAUCAGAUAAAUAAUUUCUUUAAAAAUAACUAAAAAAUAUUACUCAUAGGUGGAGCAAAAAGGAGAAGGUCCAGGGCUAAGAUGCUCACAUGGCAUAGCACAAGUAGGCAACAAGAUUUACUCCUUUGGUGGCGAGUUCACACCAAAUCAGCCCAUCGACAAACACCUUUACGUCUUUGACCUCGAGACCCGGACUUGGUCCAUUUCUCCAGCCACCGGAGACGUUCCACACCUCUCUUGUUUAGGUGUCCGGAUGGUGUCAGUAGGAUCGACCCUCUAUGUCUUUGGAGGCCGAGACGCUUCACGCCAAUACAACGGUUUCUACUCGUUUGACA